rnacentral:snRNA from 1 species
AUACUUACCUGGCAGGGGAGAUACCAUGAUCACGAAGGUGGUUUUCCCAGGGCGAGGCUUAUCCAUUGCACUCCGGAUGUGGUGACCCCUGCGAUUUACCCAAAUGUGGGAAACUCGACUGCAUAAUUUGUGGUAGUGGGGGACUGCGUUCGCGCUUUCCCCUG